rnacentral:rRNA from 1 species
GUACACUCCUACGGGAGGCAGCAGUGGGGAAUAUUGCACAAUGGGCGCAAGCCUGAUGCAGCGACGCCGCGUGGGGGAUGAAGGCCUUCGGGUUGUAAACUCCUUUCGCUAGGGACGAAGCUUUUUUGUGACGGUACCUAGAUAAGAAGCACCGGCUAACUACGUGCCAGCAGCCGCGGUAAUACGUAGGGUGCGAGCGUUGUCCGGAAUUACUGGGCGUAAAGGGCUCGUAGGUGGUUUGUCGCGUCGUCUGUGAAAUUCUGGGGCUUAACUCCGGGCGUGCAGGCGAUACGGGCAUAACUUGAGUGCUGUAGGGGUAACUGGAAUUCCUGGUGUAGCGGUGAAAUGCGCAGAUAUCAGGAGGAACACCGAUGGCGAAGGCAGGUUACUGGGCAGUUACUGACGCUGAGGAGCGAAAGCAUGGGUAGCGAACAGGAUUAGAUACCCGAGUAGUCCC